rnacentral:rRNA from 1 species
AGAUUGAACGCUGGCGGCAGGCCUAACACAUGCAAGUCGAGCGAUAGAGAGGUGCUUGCACCUCUUGAGAGCGGCGGACGGGUGAGUAAUGCCUAGGAAUCUGCCUAGUGGUGGGGGAUAACGUUCGGAAACGGACGCUAAUACCGCAUACGUCCUACGGGAGAAAGCGGGGGACCUUCGGGCCUCGCGCCAUUAGAUGAGCCUAGGUCGGAUUAGCUAGUUGGUGAGGUAAUGGCUCACCAAGGCGACGAUCCGUAACUGGUCUGAGAGGAUGAUCAGUCACACUGGAACUGAGACACGGUCCAGACUCCUACGGGAGGCAGCAGGUGGGGAAUA